rnacentral:lncRNA from 1 species
CCCUCACCUCUGUGAGCUUUGCAUAACUUUUUUGGUCGUUGAGCAACUCAUUCCACCUUGCAUGGUCUCAUCCUUUACCAAGCGCCUCGCUUGCCUUGAGCACCAUCAAGUAUAGUUGUCAACAUUGAGCCGUAGCUAAAACUCAGCCUUCCCAACCUUUGUGUGCUCCACAUUCUUCCAAGCUUGUCUGUUCUCGUGGUGCCUCUUGCGCGAAGGGUUGGCCAUUCUUCUGAAUGCCAAUCUCAGAUGCCCGCUCCUCCGAGCGACUCCUUUUCCCUACAUCUCCAUGCCUGUUUUCCCCCAAACGGUCGCGCGUGUGCUGACUACCCUCAACGCAGCCCCGCUAGGUCCCCCAUGUUUGCAUGCUAAGUGUUUCUAUGAGUGCUUGUCCCGCUCUGAUAC